rnacentral:misc_RNA from 1 species
CUCACCUCAAGUGCCCCUUUCAUAACUAUGUGUAACACCCCAACUGAACUGAUCCAAAUAAUUUUCACGUCCUAAAUCACCUAGUGCAAAAUGAUUAACCCAAAUUAUUUAACAAUAGCAACUUAGGUUAUAUAUAUUCUUUUAUCUUUUCAUCCCACAACAAUGUGGGAUUGCUGCUCCAAAGCCAAGCGAUGGCUUCCCACAUGCUAAUCCCAAGCCAAGCGAUGACUUGGGACAUCACACUAUGUCUAGCAUAAACCAAACAGGAUGGAGUCCAUAAGGUUCACCUACUCCUGACAUGGCAAAAUCCAUGAAAUCUCCAACAUUAUAAUUGCUAAAUUUGUCACUUCAAAAUAUAAAAAGAAUGAGAAGUAUUCAAAUCUCCUGAUAAAAAGUGAUAAUAAGAUAUCAAUCAGGAUUUCAAAUGUACAUGAUCACAAAAAGAAAGCUCCACCUAUCCCAGGCAUAAACAGGUACAAAUGUGAACGUAAAAAUCAAUGAGAGAGGAAUGGAAGCCAAAAAAAAAAAAAAACUACUCUUCUAAUUCUAUACUUCAAUUCACUGGCAAAAUGUUGAUUAUUUGUGCUUUUAAUAUUCAACAUUA